rnacentral:rRNA from 1 species
UACAGAGGUCUCAACCGUUGUUCGGAUUCAUUGGGCGUAAAGGGUGCGUAGGCGGUCGUGCAAGUCGGAUGUGAAAUCUCAGGGCUCAACCCUGAAACUGCAUUCGAUACUGCGCGGCUAGAGUGCUGGAGGGGAGACUGGAAUUUACGGUGUAGCAGUGAAAUGCGUAGAUAUCGUAAGGAAGACCAGUGGCGAAGGCGGCCUGCUGGGGUGGAGCUGACGCUGAGGCGCGACAGCGUGGGGAGCAAACAGG